rnacentral:tRNA from 1 species
GCCCAGAUAGCUCAGACAGUAGAGCAUAAGACUUUUAAUCUAAUGGUCCAGGGUUCAAGUCCUUGUUUGGUCA